rnacentral:rRNA from 1 species
AGUGAACGCUGGCGGUAGGCCUAACACAUGCAAGUCGAACGGCAGCACAGUAAGAGCUUGCUCUUACGGGUGGCGAGUGGCGGACGGGUGAGGAAUACAUCGGAAUCUACUUUUUCGUGGGGGAUAACGUAGGGAAACUUACGCCUAUACCGCAUACGACCUACGGGUGAAAGCAGGGGAUCUUCGGACCUUGCGCGAUUGAAUGAGCCGAUGUCGGAUUAGCUAGUUGGCGGGGUAAAGGCCCACCAAGGCGACGAUCCGUAGCUGGUCUGAGAGGAUGAUCAGCCACACUGGAACUGAGACACGGUCCAGACUCCUACGGGAGGCAGCAGUGGGGAAUAUUGGACAAUGGGCGCAAGCCUGAUCCAGCCAUACCGCGUGGGUGAAGAAGGCCUUCGGGUUGUAAAGCCCUUUUGUUGGGGAGGAAAAGCAGCAGGUUAAUACCCCGCUGUUCUGACGGUACCCAAAGAAUAAGCACCGGCUAACUUCGUG